rnacentral:rRNA from 1 species
CCUACGGGAGGCAGCAGUGAGGAAUAUUGGUCAAUGGGCGGGAGCCUGAACCAGCCAAGCCGCGUGAAGGAAGAAGGCGCCAGGCGUCGUAAACUUCUUUUGUCGGGGAACAAAGGGCGCCACGCGUGGCGUUGUGAGCGUACCCGAAGUAAAAGCAUCGGCAAACUCCGUGCCAGCAGCCGCGGUAAUACGGAGGAUGCGAGCGUUAUCCGGAUUUAUUGGGGUAAAAGGGUGCGUAGGCGGUCCGGAAAGUCAGCGGUAAAGGCCCGGGCCUCAACCCCGGCGAGCCGUGGAAACUGUCGAACUAGAGACGACGAGAGGUACGCGGAAUGCGCGGUGUAGCGGUGAAAUGCAUAGAUA